rnacentral:misc_RNA from 1 species
UUGUCAGAUGUGCUUUUAAUAUGGACAUUUUUGAGACGAUUUUUGUAUCCAUAAUCACAUUCAUCUGUGGUAUAGUAUGUACGUUGCUUUUGGAAUUCUACGUUUUCAAGAAAUAUUUGGAAGCAGCUCCUGAAGCGAGUCCACCCAGAAAACCGUUACCUCAUGGAAAAGCAAUAUUUCCUAAGGAACUCCUAAAUGAUUUGGAGCAGGAAAAGUCGAGUAUCACUGGUACGCCACGGCGGGAUCUGUCCCAGGGUAAUGAGAAUCUUGCAAUUAAUCUUACUCUCCAGUUUCUUUUUAAUGAACUUAAAAACGCAGAACGCGUACGUUUAUGGAUGUAUCGAAAGCUGAAUAAUGAGUUCAGGGAACUUCUCACUCAAACCACUACCGGAAAACUUUUUGACAGCAUUCAGCUGCGGGAUCUACAUCUUGGCACACAGUUUCCUACUAUAAAGGGACUGGAAGUUGCGGAUGCAAAAAUCAACGCCGAUACUGGUUUACUCGAAACUUUAGAUCUUUCAUUAGAUUUACAUUAUUCUGGUAAUUUUCAACUUUCAAUCGAUGUGAAGAUGUUAUUAGGGAAAACAGCAUAUAUGGCUCUGCAAGUGAAGCGUGUUACUGGCAGAGCUAGAUUACAGUUUACUCGUGUUCCAUAUACUCAUUGGUCUCUUAGUUUUUAUUCAGAUCCCAUUUUGGAACUAGAAGUACAAUCCCAAUUUCAGGGACGUCAAUUACAACCACAAAUUGUUUCUCUUAUCAUAGGUCAAAUAAGACGAGCAAUUCGUCGAAAACAUACGCUUCCUCGUUAUAAAAUGAGAUAUAAACCAUUUUUCCGCAGACUGAAUGAUGAAGAUAUUGAUUUGACUGAUGUGGCAGGUAUACACGUUACUCCAGGACAAUUGGAAGUGCAUUUAUUAGAAGUCAGCCGAUUAAAUUUCUCAUCGUGCAAGUUUAACGUAGAAGAUUUAUCACAAGCUGAAAUUUAUUGUACUAUGAGCGUUGAUAUGACACCUUGGGUCUACCUCACACAGUACAACGAAGUACCAUAUAUGGUGCUUGAUCUAAUCGUCAGUAAGACUAGUUCUCAGCAGCUCGGUGUUGUAUUCAAGCAAGAAACUGUUCCAGAAGUAGGACUAAAUUGCGUCCUUGUCGAGACUAUCGUUGCUGGAAGCCCAGCAGCUAUUGCUGAAAUGAGGAAAGGUGACAUAUUAGUUGCCGUUGAUGGAAAGAAAGUAUCAAAUAUGAACCAAGUUGCCAAACUUGUCAAAAGUGCAGCUCAAAGAAGGUUUAUCAUAAGAGUCGAAAGGAAGUAUGUCAGGUUUGAUUUUGAUAGGCACAGUUCACUGAAAUCUGACACCGAAAGAGUUUCGUUUGAUAAGAGUGUAGAUAAGAAAAGCGCAAAGGGUGAUUACACAAGUGGUAAAUCCGAUGUGCCAAAUACAGAAGACAAUUAUAAAACGAAAUUUGAAGGACUAAUUAAAUUCUCCGAUUUAAAAGAUUCCGAUUAUGAGACAACGGACAAAAGUGAACCAGUUAAUAAGUUAUUCAAAAGAAGACGAAGCAGCUCACAUCUAAACUCAGACGAUGGUACUCAGACCCCAGAAUCUCCAUUUAGAAGAAUCUCGACAUGUUCCAAUCAAUCGACAACCUCUAGUAAUGCACCAACGUCCAGUGCAGAUGAUAAUUUUGUACCAAAUAUGACAGAUUUAUAUUAUACUACAAAGGAUAAAGCUCUUGCCUCUUCAAUCACGUUUGAAGAAUCUAGAAGUUUUCAAAUAGAUUCCGAACUUCAGUAUUUAAACAUAGGAAUAUGGGUGCGAGUCAAAGGCAGCGAACAUUUACCAAAACUAUUAGGUUACAUUAAUGCUCCGAUAAAACUUAUCCUGGCUCAAUGUUCUACAUCUACAACCGGUCACUAUGUCAAAUGCUAUGCUUUAUUACCGCCUGAUACAGCUUCUCCUACUACAUCUGAUACGAAGUUACAAGGAUAUUCAGGCUUUGACCCAACACUUUGCUAUGGAGACGUUCUCUUGUCUUAUAUAUGGACCUCUAAUCAUGGUCGGUCCAAUCGAACUACCACAGACUUUGGUAAAAGAGAAGUGACAGAAACUGUAAAAACUCCGUCAACCCUAAAUGACGAAAACGUUGAUAAGAAAUUACAUGAUUUUAUUAGAACACAUUUUCACCGAGUGACACAUUGUGACUUCUGCUCAAAAAAGAUUUGGCUGAAGGAUGCCGUACAGUGUCGUGACUGUGGGAUGGUAUGUCAUAAAAAGUGCGAAAUUCGCUGCCAAGCGUCUGGGGCUUGUGGUGCCGAAAGUGUCACCUCUUUAGCUUUCGAGGCCGAUGAAGUCGACCCUAACAUAGUCGGGACGGAGAUGGGACCGGAGAUUUCUCUUACCGGUUGCGAAGAUAUUGUUCAGGUACUGAACACGUAGUAAAAAAUACAGAUCAUUCUCGUUAAUAUUUACAUUUCAACAUUGCGGACAUACUUGGUUUAAACGACUGAACAUUAAUUUAUCGUUAAGUUAAUUUAUGAACGUCGAACCAGUCCGGAAGAAUCUAGUCAAAGGGAAAUUAAGACGAGUAACUUCCGUUCUUGAUUCCCUUACGUUUUACAUAUCCGUGGAAAUUGUCUUCCUUUUUUAUACUGUACCGUUUGAGGGUGUCAAAUAAUUUGGUACUAAUGUGCACGAUAGAGUCGCAUCGACCACUAUCCUGGGAUUGUCAAGGAUCGGAUGACAUGAAACUUGACAAAUCGUAGUUUUAUAAACUUGUUAAUUAAUGACAAUCCAAUUGAUGAAUUAAAAGAAGUAGAGUAAUAUUUUAGAAUUUUUUUAGACGUUUUUAAAUCUACAUCAGAAACUGAUCGUCUCAGGUGGCUUUGGUCGGUGGAUCAGGCGAUUCAUUCGUGACGUAAUCAGUGUCCUUUUGGGCUCAUGUAAAUAUAGCGGGAUUGUUAAGCAUGAUCUACUAUUAUUGUUGACAAUAAAACAUGAUCAUCCGCACUGCCAAGGUGAAGGUUUUUUGUAGGCUUGCACCUUGCCCCAGCCACUAAUACACGGAGUGUUUAUAAAGUAUUAAUAAGCCACGGAAAGAGAUCUGUUAUCGUUAUAAGUGCCAUCGUGCUUGAAGUUUGGAACGUAAGAGACAUUCAAGAUCAGUCAUUUGGAAGGCGAGAGCUAGAGAGAAGCCUGUCGAUCACAUUCGAAUAC